AACUGUUACUGUCAUCAACUCUCAUCCAUACAUAUGUUUUAGUGAAAAUGAUAGAAAGAAAUUGAGUGCAGUGUUAACUGAAAUGUAGUUAAUUGGUAGUAUAGUUAUAGUCCUGAAAGUCUAUAAGCCAUUGAAAAUAAUGGGCCUCGCAGCGCAGCGGGGCUGUCGUUGCGGUGGGUCUGAAAGGUUACACUUGCUUUGUUUGUUUACGUUGCACUGAAAGCUCAACUCUCACCGCAACGCCAUCGAUUGUAAGUGACACGUUUAUAUUUAAUUCCCUACCAACUUGCUACGGGUGUGUAAAGCUGGGUGGUGAUCCCGCAGGUGCUGCAUCAGGUUUAAUGUAGGGAUUUGCUCCUUUAGCAGGAACCUUUUAACUGCAUGUUUAUGAACAGGUAAUCCGUCAUCAGUAACGCCUUGGUUAGACUUGGUGUACCCAAAAUGCUCCCACACUGCCGACUUCAGCCGCUUCUUGGCUGGAAAUAAAGCUUCACAGUUUGGUCCCUCUGCCAUAGUUUAGCCAGUGCACAGUAGCCUCCGAUAAGCACGACACUUACGCUGGUGCACCGCUCCUGUAACUUUAUUUUCGUUUUGUGCAAGUUGCCACAAUUUCGUUCCGUGCAACAGAAACACUUGGUGUAGCGUAGCCUUUACGAUUAAGUUUAAAGCGCGGUUGAUAGUGAAAUCCGAUAAUCGCUGCAGGCCUAAUAGCAAUGUGUGUCAGAUUCUGGCUUUAAUGGUGCGUUCCAUUUGACAUGGUAAGUUGGAAUUUUCGAGUUCGAAGUCGGAAAUUUCAAAGGGAACGCCCCCUUAAGUUGGAUAUCUGACUUGGGAAGCUGUGAGAACCGCACUACCCCAACUUUGUGAUCCAUGAUGGCUAAUCUGAGUAUCAACAGUUAGUGAAAGCUGUAGUUUAUACUAUUUAUUAGAACUUCUGUGGACUUGUGUCUCACAGAAAUCUUCGUACACAAAAUGAUGUCCAACUGCUGUGUGUGGAGGUGUUGCUACAGUGUUUAGUAUGCGUAAAUACAGCACAGUGCUUUUUUUUUUUAAUCAACCGGCGUAACAAUAGCUAACCUGGCUAGUUGUAAACAAUGGCUGGCCGAGCGAGGUUUUCCAACCUGUUAACUCCCAGCUCCAACCUCCAACUUCUGAGGUAAAUGGAAUGCAGCAUAAAUCUUAGCUCUGGCCUUUUCUGUGUGGAGUCAGUGUAUUCAGCUUCAGCUUCACCAGUUCAAAUGACAUGCAAGUUAGGUACACUGGUGAUCACUACACUACAAUGUGAUGUUGAGGUAGUAGUCAAAUGCCUACCUGAUAGAAUACUGUAAUACUGUUACAGCUGACGCUUUUAUCCAAAGCGACUUACAAUUGCUAUACAUUUCAGAGGUCAUACGCCUCUGGAGCAACUAGGGGUUAAGUGUCUUGCUCAGGGACACAAUGGUGGAUGUCUCACAGUGGGAAUCGAACCCAGGUCUCCUACACCAAAGGCAAGCAUCUUAUGCUAUGCGCCAUCAUCACCCCCGAUAUAUACUUCCAUCUUUCAGCAAUGACAUGACAAUUUCCAGCAUUAACUAACCCUCCUGGUCCACAGAGUACUGGACAGGCUGUUGAACAAGAUUUGCUCUGCAAGCUAAAAGGUUUCUAAUAACUCUGGUGACUGUAUAAAUGAUGGAUGGCCACAGAAAUAUGUUGCGUUCUAUUUGCAGUCGGUCCUCGUUUUCUGAGAGAUAUUACGAGUUCCGAAGCAGAGCGUGACAAAUAUAUAUUUUUUUCCGAUCUAUUGUUUUUUCAAUGAUCAAAUAAGAGAAAUCCGUCCUCUAAUAAAAAUUUCUACACAAAAUGAAGUACCUGACUCUCAAACCCUUUUUUGUCUUUUUUGUCUAUCCCUUUGUGUCUGUGUGCUGUGGCCGUGGAAUUGAUUCACUCUUCCUCCUGGAUCCUGGGGACCAUGCUCACCUGCCUACAAGCUCUCAAUCUGGCUCUCCAGACCAAAGCCAGCAAGUCACACACUUCUCUCAUUAAGUAAGCUCUGUUUGACGUCAGCCACUGCAAACUGCUCUCUGCCUACCCCAGUGGCAUCGCUGUUUACUCCAUCUCAAUUUGCUGCUCCUUUUUACAAUAAAUCUCUUAUUCUCUA